rnacentral:rRNA from 1 species
UACGUAGGGUGCAAGCGUUGUCCGGAAUUAUUGGGCGUAAAGGGCGCGUAGGCGGCCUGGCAAGUGGAAGGUGAAAUCCCUCGGCUUAACCGAGGAACUGCCCUCCAAACUGCUUGGCUUGAGACCGGGAGAGGUGAGUGGAAUUCCCAGUGUAGCGGUGAAAUGCGUAGAUAUUGGGAGGAACACCAGUGGCGAAGGCGGCUCACUGGACCGGUACUGACGCUGAGGCGCGAAAGCGUGGGGAGCAAACGGG